rnacentral:lncRNA from 1 species
AAACUUAGAGUUCGGUGAUUUUUUUUUAUAAUGUUUGAAGGUUAAGUAUUAUGUUUAUGAUUUAGGGGUUUGAAUUUUGAGAGUAUAAGGGUUGGAGUUUGUAUAUGAAGGUUUGUGAUUAAGAUUUAGUUUUAAACGUUUAGAUUUGAAGUUUAUAUUCAGUCUAUGUAUGAUUUAUGUUUGAAAUUUCAAGGGUUUAGGGUAUAGAGUUUUUUCAAUGAUUUAAGGUUAGUGUAUUUGGAAGUUAUAGAUUAAGAUUAAAAGAGAAAAAAAUUAGUUUAUUUUAAGAUUUUAGGUUAUAGUAUGUAAAGAUUACAGCUUUGGAUUUAUUUUAGGGUUUCGUUUGGGAGUUUUGUUAUGUUUCGACUAUAUAUAUUAAGUGAUUCGGUUCAAAACAAAUAAUUAA